AUUGAACGCUGGCGGCAGGCCUAACACAUGCAAGUCGAGCGGAUGACGGGAGCUUGCUCCUUGAUUCAGCGGCGGACGGGUGAAUAAUGCCUAGGAAUCUGCCUGGUAGUGGGGGACAACGUUUCGAAAGGAACGCUAAUACCGCAUACGUCCUACGUGAGAAAGCAGGGGACCUUCGGGCCUUGCGCUAUCAGAUGAGCCUCGGUCGGAUUAGCUAGUUGGUGGGGUAAUGGCUCACCAAGGCGACGAUCCGUAACUGGUCUGAGAGGAUGAUCAGUCACACUGGAACUGAGACACGGUCCAGACUCCUACGGGAGGCAGCAGUGGGGAAUAUUGGACAAUGGGCGAAAGCCUGAUCCAGCCAUGCCGCGUGUGUGAAGAAGGUCUUCGGAUUGUAAAGCACUUUAAGUUGGGAGGAAGGGCAGUAAGUUAAUACCUUGCUGUUUUGACGUUACCGACAGAAUAAGCACCGGCUAACUCUGUGCCAGCAGCCGCCGUAAAAC
rnacentral:rRNA from 1 species